GCCAUUUACUAUUCAAUUUGCGUUCAUUUUCAAAUUUGCCGCGCGAGUAUCUAUGUAGCGUCGCGUGGUCAUUGUUCAUCAAGUCAUCUUAUUUCAUUUUCAUCAUAAGAUAACCUAAAAAUUUAGUAAAAAUUUUGAUUAGAAAAAAAUGCAUCGAUAAGGGGGUGAAAAAUGGAAAUUAGUGGCUUUUUUUUGCUGUACUCAACUGUACUGUUUAGUAUGCUAGUUUUGGCUAUGGCUGGAUCUCUUAAACAAUUAUAAUCAGCUGAAAGUGGUCUACAAAAAACCAGAUAUAACCAAAAUAAAGAUAUAAAAAGUGUAUUGGCUAAUUGGAAGAAACUCAACAUUGUCCAUGCAUAAUAAGUUAUUACUUUAUAAACAAAUAUUAAGACCUAGGAAUGGAACCUGGAUAUAAUCAUCAAGAAGAUAGCAGGAAUCCCGACAAACAACAGGAAAUCCAGCUCCUGGAUACUACUGGGCAAACUAGAAGAUUGAAGAGGACAAAGCCUUUUGAACUAGUUUGAGUGAUAGGUGAUAGUGAAAAGCAGAGCAUAGUGCGUGAUGUGGCUGUGUAUGUUAGAAUAGUGCACGAUCUUGUUAGAUUAGAUAAGAGACGCUAUCGGGUAAGCUCUUCAUUUUAAGAAACAGUAGUAAUUUAGGUUAAAUUAAAAUUGCUCAUUGGUCAGUUAUGACCAGAUUGCUUUUUUUUAUGUUUGACAAAAAGGGUGUAAGUCAGAAUUGCACAUUGCUAAUGUUUUGAUGAUUUCUGGACCAGCAAAAAACUGUUGUAGACGUAAACUGUAUGUACCAAUAAAAAGAGCCGAUUUUUCUGGUCCAGAAAUCAUCAAAACAUUAUCGAUGUGCAUUUCUGACUUAAGCCCUUUUUCCCAAACAUCAGAGAAUUGCAAUGUACAAAUUCUCCUAUCUGAUUUUUCAUGAAUUUUGUAGGAGACGAAAAACCAUUUUUAGGAUCAUCUCCUGCUUUCACAUGUAAAUUUUGACAUGUCUUUUAGUAAAUAGAUAGAUUUACUACAAAACAUGUCAAAAAAUAUAUGAAAACAGGAGGUGACCAUAAAAAAAGUUUUUAGUCUCUCUUAAAAAAAUUCAUGAAAAAACAAAUCGGAGGUAUGUCACAUCAGUGACUAUAUCCAGGGAAUGUCUAAAAAAUAUACUUUGAUGUCCCAAGAACCAAAUAUAACCUUUAUAUAUAUAUACAGGGUGUAUAACAAAAAUACAGGUCAUAAAUUUAAUCCCAUAUCCUGGGACCAAAAAUAGUUUGAUUGGACCUAACUUACCUUAGUACAAAUGUGCACAAAAGAAAAGUUACAGCCCUUUGAAGUUAUAUAUUAAUAGCACCAAGGGCCUUAGAGGCCCAUGGCUUGAAAAGUUUGUUUUUUUCUUCAUUUUCACGUUUCUUUAUGUACUGAGAUCUUCUCUGGCUUGAUAUGUGAUUUUUCUCCAUUCCUUCCUCUUAUUCAUUUUUCUUUUCUGACCCUGUAACACCAUUCUUUCCAAAUCUUUUUCGACCUCUUGCUUCCAUCUAUUUUCCGGUCUUCCUCUUCUCUUUCUUGAAGCUAUAGUGUAGUUUAGUACCCUUUUCGGAGUCCUCGUUUUUGGCAUCCUUUCAAUGUGACCUCGUGAUCUAAGUCUCUGUGCCUUUAUCACUCAUUUGAAGUUACAAAAUGAAAAGUGAUUUUUUCCAAUGUAUCGAAAACAAAGUGCUUUUGUGCACGUUUCAAUUUAAUUAUUAUUGUAGUACCUACCAUUUAAACAAUGUUUUAAAAACUUUUUUGCCUCUUAUUGCUUUUUCAAAAAGUCAAUUUUUAUCGAAAUAUUUUGAAUAUUUGUCAAAUCCACCACAUAUUUGUAUAUGGUUAAGUACGAUUAUGGAGACUUGGUAAUAAUAUGCAAACUUAUUUAUGCUUUACAUUUUUAGGUAUAUUUUGAACCAUAUUAAAAAAGAAGCCAGACUCGAUAAAACGUGCCUUAUCGAAAAAAUACAAAGAGGCAAAAAAGUUUUGAAAACACUCUGUUUAACUAAUGGUAGCUCAGUAAUAGUUUAAUUGGAACAUACACAAACAUUUGGGGGGUUUAAAGGAACAAAACCCCCAUAAAAUUUUUAUGUGGACAUAUUAAAAAAGAAGUCGCAACUCGAUAAAAACUGCCUUAUCUGAAAAAUACUAAGAAACAAAAAUAUUGAAUUUAACUGAUGGUACCACAAUAAUAAAAUUGAAUUGGAACAUACACAAAAGUUUGGGAAGAUUUAAGGGAUCAAAACCCCUAUAAAAUUUUUAUGGGGUGCACAAAUUUCACCAUAAUUUUUCUUUAAGAUAUUCCUGCCAUAAUAAUGCCACAUGUCACAUGUCCAUUUUCAAUAAAAAAUCGCUAAUAGUUUUCGAUAUAAUCGAAAAAAUCGAUUUUCAUUUUGUAAUUUCAAAGGGCUGUAACUUUUUUUUAUGUGCAUAUUUGUACAAGGUAAGUUAGGUUCAUUUGAACUAUUUUUGGUCCCAGAAUAUGUGAUUUAAUUUAUGACCUGUAUUUUUGUUACACCCUGUAAAUACAGCCCAUUACGCACCACCUUAAAAAUUGGGCAUUUUUGAUGUCUCGAAUUUCCUAAACCUGUUGUUGCAUCUAAGUGAUUUUUUUAUAAUAUUCUAGCCUAGGCCCUAGAAUAUGUUACCUCCUUAUGCUUGUCAUGCACAGGGAGCUAUACUGUAAUAUAUAUUAUAUCACAUUACUAUAGAGAGCGAUAUGAUAUAAUAUACAUAUAUUACAGCAUAGCUCCCUGUGCAUGACAAGCUUAAGGAGGUAACCUAUAGCCUAGGCUAUAAUAUUAUAAAAACAUCACUUAGAUGGGACAACAGGUUUAGGAAAUACGAGACAUCAAAUAUACCCCAUAUUUAAGGUGGUGCGUUAAUUUCUUGGAGAAGUGUAUUGUAAUUUAAUGUAAAUAAUGUAAUAUCCAAUAAUUGUAAUUUGAUAUAAGAUGAAAUAUAAGUUCCUUAAAAAAUAUAUUUUUUAUUUCCCACAAUACAUUCUCCACAGGUCUAAAUAUCGUCGCUAGACGUCCACCGAAUGACCUUCCAGGACGUUAGAUGGAUGUUCAGCAGCAAGACAUUGGACCAAACUGGGACAUCCUAUGAAUGCCCAAAUGACGUCCACCGAACGUCCCCUCCGACGUUAGGUGGACCUCCAUUGGACGUUUGGCAACUUGGCCUUUGGACCAAAAUUGGACGUCCUGUUAAGGUCCAAUUCACGUCCCCUAGGACGUCCGAUUAAGGUCCAAUUUACGUCCGAUUAAGGUACAAUUUACGUCCGCUUAAGGUCCCAUUUACGUCCGAUUAAGGUCCAAUUUACGUCCGAUUAAGGUCCAAUUUACGUCCGAUUAAGGUCCAAUUUACGUCCGAUUAAGGUCCAAUUUACGUCCGAUUAAGGUCCAAUUUACGUCCGAUUAAGGUCCAAUUUACGUCCUAUUAAGGUCCAAUUUAUGUCCGAUUAAGGUCCAAUUUACGUCCGAUUAAGGUCCAAUUUACGUCCGAUUAAGGUCCAAUUUACGUCCCCUAGGACGUCCGAUUAAGGUCCAAUUUAUGUCCGAUUAAGGUCCAAUUUACGUCCGAUUAAGGUCCAAUUUACGUCCAAUUAAGGUCCAAUUUACGUCCCCUAGGACGUCCGAUUAAGGUCCAAAUUACGUCCGAUUAAGGUCCAAUAUACGUCCCCUCGGACCUUAGAUGGACGUCCAAUGGACGUUCGGUAGCGCGACAUUUGGACCAAAAUAGGACGUAUAAAGGACGUUCCUCGGACGAAAACGGACGUCCAAUGGACGUCCCUAAAGUCCGUGAAGGACGUCCAAUGGACGUCCAUUGGACGUCCUUGUGCUAUUAGGGAUAUU